ACCCUUUGCGGGGGAUAACUCAGGGAAACCUGAGCUAAUACCGCAUAUGUCCUUCGGGAUGAAAGGCUUCGGCACCAGAGGAUCGGUCUGCGGCCCAUUAUCUAAUCCUAGUUGGUAGGGUAACGGCCUACCAAGGGUACGAUGGGUAGCUGGUCUGAGAGGAUGAUCAGCCACACUGGGACUGAGACACGGCCCAGACUCCUACGGGAGGCAGCAGUGGGGAAUAUUGGACAAUGGGCGAAAGUGAUCCAGCCUCGCCGCGUGUGUGAUGAAGGCCCUCGGGUUGUAAAGCACUGUCGGGAGGGACGAAGCCUUCGGGUUGACGGUACCUCGCAAGAAAGCACCGGCUAACUUCGUGCCAGCAGCCGCGGUAAUACGAAGGGUGCAAGCGUUGCUCGGAAUUACUGGGCGUAAAGCGACCGCAGCGGUCCAGUAGGUCGGAUGUGAAAGCCCGGGGCUCAACCCCGAACUGCAUUCGAAACCCCUGGACUUGAGUACUGGAGAGGAGGGCGGAAUUCCUGGUGUAGAGGUGAAAUUCGUAGAUAUCAGGAGGAACGCUCGCGGCGAAGCGGCUCUCUGGCCAGAUACUGACGCUCAUGGUCGAAAGCAUGGGUAGCGAACGGGAUUAGAUACCCCGGUAGUCCAUGCCGUAAACGAUGAAUGCUAGCUGAUGGAGGUCUAUACCCGUUCAUUGGCAAAGUUAACGCAUUAAGCAUUCCGCCUGGGGACUACGGCCGCAAGUAAAACUCAAGGAAUUGACGGGGGCCCGCACAAGCAGUGGAGUAUGUGGUUUAAUUCGACGCAACGCGCAGAACCUUACCCGGCCUUGACAUCCUUGGAAAUGGCUCGAAAGAUGAUUGU
rnacentral:rRNA from 1 species